rnacentral:misc_RNA from 1 species
UUCGCGAAUUGUUGCUAAGCCUUGACGGUUGCAAAUAAAAUCCGUGCGCGAUAUUGUUAUAAAGCGAAGGCUCUAAGUAGCCCAAAUCGAAUUAAGCCGACUUGUUGGGUGGCGCCAUCGCGUAGUGUUUGUUUAGUGUAGUAUACAUUUGGGCGCGGCAGCAGCGAAAAUCCCAGUCGCCGGAGUCUCUCAAUAAGGAUAUAA